GGUGUGAGAGAAAGUGGAUUGAUACAAACAGACUCGACCGAAAUCGUUCUAUCCCAACAAUCCACAGUAAUAACUUCCGUUUCGAAAAUGAACAUAUUUCUACAAGUGACUGCCGUUUUGUCUUUACAGUUUGGAUUUGUGUGCAUGGACAGUCGUAUGUUCUCACGUCAUCCUGUGGGGGUGUAGUCACUGAGGGAAGCAGCUGUGUUUUAAAUUGUGAAACUGGUUCUGCCACUGAGACACAUAUUAUUUGGAAAAGAGGUGCAAGUGUUAUUUACGAGGUGGCACGAGCAACAUGUGAAACGCCAAAAUCAGCAUCAACUAUUCCAUUUGAUUACGUCUUCGACUGUCCUGGAACUAGCUUUACUCUCAGUAUCACAUCUGCAUCUGUGAUACGUGACAAAACUACCUGGACAUGUGAUGCAGCUUUUGGUGGAAAGGAUAGCUCUAUUAACUUGGAUGUCCCAGGUUGGUAUUAAAGUAUAUUAUAGAAUAUAGACUGAAUAUGAAUGUGACAUAGAAUUCCUUAAGUUAAAUACCUAACCUCUAUUUCG
rnacentral:misc_RNA from 1 species